UGGCUCAGAUGGUAAAGCAUCUGCCUACAAUGCGGAAGACCAGGGUUCGAUCCCUG
rnacentral:tRNA from 1 species